AGGUAAAGAUAAAUUACCAUGGUAGUUCCUACAAGACAGACUUUCAGACAGAUGAACACAGGUGAGUAAAUGAUCCUUAGUAAUCUAAAAAUAAAAUAUAUUUGUGAACUCUAAAAAGCACAAAAUUCUAACAAAUUUCAAUAUAGUUUUCAACAAUAAGCUUUGAAAUAAGAAAAGGUUUCCACUUAGGCUUAAGUUAGCUUUUUUUUUUUUUUUUCCCACUAGCUUUCAAGUUAAUUAAGCUUCACUCUAUCUGAAAGUAAAAACAAAUUUUAAAAAGUGAGUAAAAUGAGACUAUGUUACAUUAGGAAAUAUUCUAUGCCAUAGUAUACUCUACUAAUGUUGUUAAAAUAACUAUCCCCACUGCAUUUUAUCACCAUCAUUUUCCUUAUAACAACUUACCUUUCAAAAGAUAAAUUUUCUAUAUUCUAAGUAUUGUGCUUUAUGCUUUACAUAUCUCAGUUAAUAUAACAAUCUUAUAAGGUUUCAAUUAUCACUACAGACAACAGUAAGUUAUAACCAACUUCUGAUACUUUUAAUACUACAAAAGACUGUGCUAAAAACUACACAUAACUAUUAAUACACAAUAUUCAUUAAAUAUUUAUACUUUCUGACUUUGCUACAAGAUUCACUUUAGCAUUCUAUUUAAUUUUGAAGCAAUGGCUUCCAGCUACCAUAUAUAUAAAAUUGUCUUCAAGUAAGCUUUUUACCUCUUUUAUACGGAGGAGAUGGUCUUGAUCUCAGAACAACAGGAUCAAGACCAUUCCUUGUAUUCUGGGGAGAGGGACCUCCUGUGCUAGAUGCUGGAUUGAUUGUGAAUGGGAAAGUGUUCACAUGUAUAGAAUGCCAUCCCUGGUGGGCGUAAGAUAGGAAUCUUCACUGAGAAAAAACCAACAACAACUAAGAGUUAAGUAGUAGGGAAGCCUCACUGAGGUGCCAUUUAAAGUCAGCAAUCUUGAGAGAGUACAGUGUCACACUGCAGUAGAGAAACAGCUCAGAAUCCAUCAGUGACAGCAAGCUGUACUGGUAGUUUAUUAUAUUCUUUGUGAUUACUUUCUCAUUUGUUGUCCUUUAGCAUAAAGACUUUCAGAAGUUCUACACUGCUUUAACUGCAGAGAGCGUCAAAGAAAAGAGUGUCCACAAUGGAAGAGAAAGAAGAAGAGGUGAAGUUAGGGGUGACCAAUGAAAAUUCCAUCUAAGUGACUUGGGGCAACACUAUCAUGUAUAGUGUUAAUAUACAUUAACACUCAAGGAAGAAUAAAUCUGAUUAUAAUAAUGCUUGCCAUUUAUGGAGAAUCUAUCAACUGAGUGUCUUGGAAUGCUUUGUGAAAUUUAAAUCAAUUCCCACAUCACCCCUCAAAGGUAGGCACUAUUUUGUUAUGUAAACUUGGCACUGAAGUUAAAUAAAUAUCUAGAGGCAAAUCACUUCAAAUCACUUCAAGAUAACAACAGACACUUUCAAUUUUAUAUCGCCCCCCUCAAUUCAACAUAUUAUCUCCUUAAUUAUUUCAUAAAUAUAACAAAUUUAGUUUUGUUCUUAAUCUUUGGUUAUUAAGUACAAUAAGAAUUUUUAGAGCCAAUUCAAUGUCAGUCAAUCCAUAACAUACGGUGGUCGGAUGGAAAAGAGGGAGGUAUAAACAAUAUCUAGACUUGGACAAUUAUUUUAGCUGUAUCCUUAAAGUGA
rnacentral:lncRNA from 1 species